rnacentral:rRNA from 1 species
CCUACGGGGGGCAGCAGUGGGGAAUAUUGGGCAAUGGGCGCAAGCCUGACCCAGCAACGCCGCGUGAAGGAAGAAGGCUUUCGGGUUGUAAACUUCUUUUCUGAGGGACGAAGAAAGUGACGGUACCUCAGGAAUAAGCCACGGCUAACUACGUGCCAGCAGCCGCGGUAAUACGUAGGUGGCAAGCGUUAUCCGGAUUUAUUGGGUGUAAAGGGGGUGUAGGCGGGAAAGCAAGUCAGAGGUGAAAAGUAAGGGCUCAACCCCGAGACUGCAUUUGAAACUGUUUUUCUUGAGUGCUGGAGAGGUAAGCGGAAUUCCGUGUGUAGCGGUGAAAUGCGUAGAUAUAAGGAGGAACACCAGUGGCGAAGGCGGAUUGCUGGACAGUAACUGACGCUGAGGCGCGAAAGCGUGGGGAGCAAACAGGAUUAGAUACCCGGGUAGUC